UACGUAGGGGGGCGAGCGUUGUCCGGAGUUACUGGGCGUAAAGGGCGUGCAGGCGGUGCGGUAAGUUUAGCGUGACAGUCUCCGGCUUAACUGGAGAAGGCCGCUGAAAACUGCUGGACUUGAGGGCCAGAGAGGGACAUAGAAUUCCGGGGUGGAGUGGAUGAAAUGCGUAGAUAUCCGGAGGAAUACCAAAGGCGAAGGCAGUGUCCUGGCUGGCAACUGACGCUGAGGCGCGAAAGUCUAGGGGAGCGAACAGG
rnacentral:rRNA from 1 species